GCCUGGGUGGCUCAGUCAGUUGAGCGUCUGACUCCGGGUCAGGUCAUGAUCUUGUAGUUCAUGAGUUCAAUCCCCAUAUUGGGCU
rnacentral:tRNA from 1 species